GAGAGCAUAUUCCAGGAUUCU
rnacentral:misc_RNA from 1 species